CUGAGCCUGCAGGAUCCAGGCUGACCUGGGUCACCGGUGACAACUGCUUGGGUGUAGAGAUGCAGGUGCCUAAAGCCACCUCUUCCAAGAGACCACGUGACACAUGUAUACCAAGGGCCUCACCCUGCUCUGAGCAUGGUGGCUGCAAGGGCGCUGAGCACCUGGGGAAACCUGUCCACGAGCUCAGGGUCACACAAAAGGCCCUGUGCCACAGGGCCACCUCUGAGGCCUCCCACGGACAGUCUGGGGUGGAGCAGGGCCCUCAAGGGUGCAUCGGGGAGCUCUGUGCAGGUGAGUCGGUGGGGACUGUGAAAUUCCUGUAACAUGAUUGACAGCUUCGUGGUGACGAUCCCAGGCUUCGGUUGUGUCCGGUGCCACCCCUCCCCAGCCCACGACCACAGUCGCCCCGGGCUUGCGGUUCCAGCCCUGGGCGGGGUUUGUGGGUCCUAGCACUGCCUCCCGCCCCGGGGUUUGCAGGUCCUGGUGCUGGUGGGAAGGAGAUGCGGGGUGGCCUCCCUUGCGGUUCUGCAGAGCAUCCUUGCUGUGACCUCGUCAGCGCCGUACUCCCUUAUGACUCGGUGCAGUCCUCCCUCGGUACCACCUGGCGACUUGGCCAGGGUUCCAGGGCCCCAGACACCAGGCACUCUGGCACCGAGUGUCCUGCCCAGAGUGGUGUGUGCGUCUGUGACGAGGCGCGUCCUCUGGGUAUUUCAUUUGUGCUGCGGAGGGAGCCCAGGGCCCCGCACCUGCUAGGCAGGUGCUCCACCACGGAGCUGCCCCUGGGCUCCCCCGGGCACACUGCAGGUGGCCUCUGGACGAUGUGGCCCUGAGGCAUCGUGGGUGUGUAGGCAGCGGUUAGCGUGAUGUUCCGGGAAUAACGGCAGGGAAGGUGGGUACGUGUCCAGUGCAGGUGCAGCCAUCCGGCUGGACCACCUUGCACCCACCCCAGAGCACCCUGCCCGUGGCUGGCGACUCUGGCUGCGCAGCCUGGGGCCGCACAGGGCCUGCUGGCUGCGGCGUGUUCUGGACCUGCUGCUGGUCCGUGGGUAUUUGUGUUGUCUCCCCCUUUUGGCUGCUGUGGCCAGUGCCGCCGUGAAUACUGGUGCAGAUACGUGUUUGAAUGCCUUUUAAAAAUUCUUGUGGGUAUAGUGUGUAUCCAGAAAUAGAAUGGCUGGGUCAUAGGGUAAUUCUGCCUUUAACUUUUUGAGGAAACUGAUUCGGACAUUAAGGGUCUUCCCCCACCCCCCACCAUGGAGUGCAUGGUAGUUGGACACAGGGUUGUGGGUAGGUGGCUCUCGGUUAGAGUCCACCUGAGCUAUUAGUUUGCUGUGUGACCUCUGGCAAAUUACUCGUCCUCUCUGUGUCUUCGUUUCCCUGCCCAGGAUGGUGCUGUGAGCAUGAGGGAGAUGGUGCCAAGUGCUUGAUUCUGUGCGUGGCUCUGAAGUGUCAAUCAAGUGGAGCUCUUAUGCCUUUUAGGGUUGAAAUGUGUUCUCUUCAGAGCCUGAUCCCACCCACCCUGCCUGUGAGGGGGCUGCCAGCAGCCCAGGAGGGAGGUGCAGGGUGCCCCUGUUAUGCCUGGAGAGACUUGGCGCUGAGUCCUAAGGGUACAGUGGCCCCCUCUGGGUGCCGCUGCAGGUCCCUGCCCUGCAGGAGGAGGGCACAGGCUGGGGACUGGCGCCAGGGUGCACCUUAGGGACAGCAGGCCUCAAGCCCACUCCACUGUCCCGAAUGCCUGCUGUUCUGGUUGUGUGGGGAGCCAAGGGGAGGGCUGGGCAGGUGGCAUGGGCAGGCGUAGGAAGAGGCGCGUCCGUGGG
rnacentral:lncRNA from 1 species